AACGAACGCUGGCGGCAUGCCUAACACAUGCAAGUCGAACGAGACCUUCGGGUCUAGUGGCGCACGGGUGCGUAACGCGUGGGAACCUGCCCUUAGGUUCGGAAUAACUCCCCGAAAGGGGUGCUAAUACCGGAUAAUGUCUUCGGACCAAAGAUUUAUCGCCUUUGGAUGGGCCCGCGUUGGAUUAGCUAGUUGGUAGGGUAAAAGCCUACCAAGGCGACGAUCCAUAGCUGGUCGGAGAGGAUGAUCAGCCACACUGGGACUGAGACACGGCCCAGACUCCUACGGGAAGCAGCAGUGGGGAAUAUUGGACAAUGGGCGAAAGCCUGAUCCAGCCAUGCCGCGUGAGUGAUGAAGGCCUUAGGGUUGUAAAGCUCUUUUACCCGGGAUGAUAAUGACAGUACCGGGAGAAUAAGCUCCGGCUAACUCCGUG
rnacentral:rRNA from 1 species